AGUUCCAGGGUUGCUGUUCGUAGUUACAGUUCGUAGUGGAGACCAGCCUGCGAGAUGUAGUCUACACGUGAAGUCACCUAUAGCCUUCGCAUGCUGACAAGUGUUUCCUACAGUGAUUGACGUUGUGGCGCCCAGAUGCAGUCAGUGAACCAGAUUACGGAACUGAUGAAGGGGUUCAUCAAACCCAGACGGCAGCAACUGAAAUACGAAAUCAGACUCCGUCACCCACUGCACCGUCACAAGCAGCACAGUGUUCACAGAUGCCUCGAAAAUUUCAAGAAGAAAAGGACGACUAUUCGGAAUAUUUGCCACAAUUUGAAGCACACCUGGCCGCUCACCAAGAUAACGCAGCCCACACUUCAUCUGGUGACCUGGGUUCCUGUGUCGCCACUAUCAGGCCGCAGAUCCGUGUAACUGGAACCAACGCCUCGGCCAGCACCGAGUGAACAACAAACGUCUUAUGGGGAUGGUCCACUCCACACCAACGCCUACGAAGGGGCCACCGUCGCACACUACGACGCCACUGCGGGUCAACACCAUGCAGAUUGUGCUCCAUUGCCGGAUGCUGGAGUGUGUCCUCUGCCUCAUUUGUUUGUUGGCAUUCCGGAACGGUUGCAACGCGAAUACUGGGGAACGAGGGGACCUUGGCACCAUCUAGAGACUCGGCUCUACUGGCUCCCAUUCCCUCGUCGUGAAUGCAUCCACACCUCCCAACCUCUUCUCCCCCUCCCCACUGUCAUAGCAGCAACCGACACUACACGACAACACGAGGGGGGAGGUGUUUUGUCCUCACUAAUGGACGCAACCGGAGCUGUCGCACUGAGACAGUUUCCAACUGGCGCCACCAACCACAAGCAUGCCCCAAUCAGCAACCACUGCGCCGCCGGCGGUGAGGUGGUUUUGCGAUAAGCAGCAGCCACAGGUAGCAACAGAUCGUUCAUAUUCAGCAUUGAUGUACGGCAGUUCUAGCACAGAGUUCCAGGGUUGCUAUUUGUACAUAUAGUUUGUAGGCACCAGCCUUCGAGAGUUAGUCUACAAAUGUCCACAAGCACAUCCAACGAGUUGCUGUACAACUUUAGUUAAAUAUCGCAGCGCAGUAAAUUGUAUAUUUGUGUGUGUCACUAAUUUGUUUGCACUGUCACAGUUUCCUAAGCCCAAAACGAUGUAUGCAAGCCUUACUACCCAGACGACCCAUACACAUCAGUAUUAGAUUUAUGUUGUAAUGGAAGACAUUUGUCAUCUUCAAUUCAUAAUGGCAACUUUACGCUAUUGCACACUGGAAACUACAAGGCAAUUCAUCCCUUGCAUGACCAUUUUACUGCAAAAUUAUAACAACCUGCCCUGUUUCAUAAUUGGUUACAGAUAAGCAUCAAACAAUAUUCUAAGAAAUUGCUCCCCUACCUCACCAGGGUAUACAAAAAUUGCAACAAACAGCCACAUGUACAAAAUAUUUGUCAUCUUCUGCUGAAAAUGCUAACUCACACGCCAAACAGUGGAAACUACAGUGCUAAACAGAGAAGACUGUGAUACUCGACAUAAACAAAAAUGACAUUCAGAAAUGAAAUAAUAUUUUAACACCAGAUGCUGACAGUGAAUAUUCCAUAGUUAGGCAGUGAGCAUCACCUAUUGGAUCGCAAGUAGUAUAUUUGGUUACAGAUAAGCACGAAAUAAAAUUGUGACAAAAUGCUUCAUACAUCACCGUGUUGCUGGAAAAUUGUAACAAAUUGCCCUACAUAACCGUUUUCAUUACAUCAAGUCUUGCAGCUCGCAAAAGAAAAUGUUUUAGACCAACAGUAGAUUCUGUUACCAAAUAGCAUCUUAAAAAUGUAGAUAUUAAAUCUGAACUAAAUACAAACACAGCAGAAGCAAUCAGUAACAGCUAUAACCCAGAGCUAGUCAGUGAGAUAUAUAAAAAGAAUUCCAUACAAAGUAGAAAAGCAUUAAAGACACAAUCACACUUACAAAGACUGAAACAAAAAAGAAAGAUAAUCUGUAUUACCUCUGUACUUGGUACAUGUUUCAGAUAAAUAUGCACUAUAAGUUAUGCAAUAUGGAAAGCAAAUGUCAAAAUAGGCUUCUAUACUAUUUUUAGUUACAAAUUAGAAGCCAACAUCAUUCAUAAAAUAGUCAAAACACAACGACAUAAGCAUUCUGGCGUUUACAAAAUCGAAUGCUGCAAAUGUAGUAAAACCUACAUUGAACAGACAGGCAGAACCUUUAAAAUAGGGUACACAGAAUACACAAAUACAAGCGAAAAUAACAUUUAAGAUUUUGGCAUGCACCUCAAACAAAAUAGACACUCCACUGAAAAUAUUAGAAGAAAUCUCACUGUUUUACUCAAUGUCCUCAAAGGCCAAUUAAUGGAAAUUGCAGAAGAAAGACAAAUACACAUUCACAUGACGAACUACCAAAAACAAAUGCUAACUGAACAAACAGAACUAUGCAGCAAAACGUUCAUGGAAAAUUUCCAUACCACCUUAACCAGCAUGUGAAAGGCACUCCUCCAAGCAUUAAUCACCAAAUAUGCGACUGAAAACGAUUCAUAAAAACCUACACUAGCACCUUAAUCUGCAUAUGAAUAGCACUCCAUUCUAACUUAAUCAUUCAGCGAGAUUAGAAACAGUACACUGAAAAUUAUACCAGUAUAACAAUAAUGCUGUAUGUAGAUUCCACUGAAACACAAAUGAAACAAUAAGCUGAUUCUUAAA